GACGAACGCUGGCGGCGUGCUUAACACAUGCAAGUCGAACGGAAAGGCCCUGCUUUUGUGGGGUGCUCGAGUGGCGAACGGGUGAGUAACACGUGAGUAACCUGCCCUUGACUUUGGGAUAACUUCAGGAAACUGGGGCUAAUACCGGAUAGGAGCUCCUGCUGCAUGGUGGGGGUUGGAAAGUUUCGGCGGUUGGGGAUGGACUCGCGGCUUAUCAGCUUGUUGGUAGGGUAGUGGCUUACCAAGGCUUUGACGCGUAGCUGGUCUGAGAGGGUGAUCGGGCAGGGUGGGACUGAGACACGGCCCAGACUCGUACGGGAGGCAGCAGUGGGGAAUAGUGGACACUGGGCGAAAGACUGAUCCAGCAAUGCCGCGUGAGUGAUGAAGGCCUUAGGGUUGUAAAGCUCUUUUACCCGGGAUGAUAAUGACAGGACCGGGAGAAUAAGCUCCGGCUAACUCCGUG
rnacentral:rRNA from 1 species